UUCCGGUUGAUCCCGCCGGACCUGACUGCUAUCGGAUUGAUACUAAGCCAUGCGAGUCAUUGUAGCAAUACAAGGCAGACGGCUCAGUAACGCGUAGUCAAUCUACCCUAUGGACGGGAAUAACCUCGGGAAACUGAGAAUAAUACCCGAUAGAACAUUAUGCCUGGAAUGGUUUAUGUUUUAAAUGAUUUAUCGCCGUAGGAUGGGACUGCGGCUUAUCAGUUUGUUGGUGAGGUAAUGGCCCACCAAGACUAUUACAGGUACGGGCUCUGAGAGGAGUGGCCCGGAGAUGGGUACUGAGACACGGACCCAGGCCCUAUGGGGCGCAGCAGGCGAGAAAACUUUGCAAUGUGCGAAAGCACGACAAGGUUAAUCCGAGUGGUUUCUGCUAAAGAAACCUUUUGUUAGUCCUAGAAACACUAGUGAAUAAGGGGUGGGCAAGUUCUGGUGUCAGCCGCCGCGGUAAAACCAGCACCUCAAGUGGUCAGGAUGAUUAUUGGGCCUAAAGCAUCCGUAGCUCGUUUUGUAAGUUUUCGGUUAAAUCCAUGCGCUUAACGUAUGGGCUGCCGGGAAUACUGCAUAACUAGGAAGUGGGAGAGGUAGACGGUACUCGGUAGGAAGGGGUAAAAUCCUUUGAUCUAUUGAUGACCACCUGUGGCGAAGGCGGUCUACCAGAACACGUUCGACGGUGAGGGAUGAAAGCUGGGGGAGCAAACCGGAUUAGAUACCCGGGUAGUCCCAGCUGUAAACUAUGCAAACUCAGUGAUGCAUUGGCUUGUGGCCAAUGCAGUGCUGCAGGGAAGCCGUUAAGUUUGCCGCCUGGGAAGUACGUACGCAAGUAUGAAACUUAAAGGAAUUGGCGGGGGAGCACCACAAGGGGUGAAGCCUGCGGUUCAAUUGGAUUCAACGCCGG
rnacentral:rRNA from 1 species